GUUGCCAUAACAACGGCCAGCGGAGUCGGUCAGUUAUGGCCUCCAACUUUAAGAAGGGUAACUUGGCUUCAACUGCUCAGCGAAAAAGGAUGAAUCCUAAGCCUGAGCUUACUGAAGAGCAGAAACAGGAGAUCCGGGAGGCUUUCGAUCUCUUCGAUGCUGAUGGCACUGGGACUAUAGAUGUUAAGGAACUUAAGGUGGCAAUGAGAGCCCUGGGCUUUGAACCCAAGAAAGAAGAAAUCAAGAGAAUGAUAAAUGAAAUUGAUAAGGAAGGGACAGGGAAAAUGAAUUUUAGUGACUUUUUGACUGUGAUGACUCAGAAAAUGUCUGAGAAAGAUACCAAAGAAGAAAUCCUGAAAGCUUUCAAGCUCUUCGAUGACGAUAAAACUGGGAAGAUAUCAUUCAAAAACCUGAAACGCGUGGCCAAGGAGUUGGGUGAGAACCUGACCGAUGAAGAGCUGCAGGAAAUGAUUGACGAAGCUGAUCAAGACGGAGAUGGAGAGGUCAGUGAGCAAGAGUUCCUGCGCAUCAUGAAGACCAGCCUGUUUUAAGAUCGGCAUCUUGUCUACGCAAGCACGCGUGAUGAGAUGUAGUGCCUGCCGCUGUGAGAAAUCUGACUUUUGAGAACACAAACUUUUUCCCUCACUGACCUCCCUGUAUAACUUUAAUAGUGACCUUGAAUCUAUUUUAGACUUUUGGAAGUGUUCUUUGAUAUUAAAGUUCCUUGUAAAGUGA